AACUUUUGACAACGGAUCUCUUGGCUUUCGCAUCGAUGAAGAACGCAGCGAAAUGCGAUAAGUAAUGUGAAUUGCAGAAUUCAGUGAAUCAUCGAAUCUUUGAACGCACCUUGCACCCUUUGGCAUUCCGAAGGGUAUGCUCGUUUGAGUGUCAUUGUACUCUCACACUCCCGAUGCUUUUGGAUUGGGAGUGGUGGACUUGGGUGUUGCUGCUUUACUGUGGCUCACCUCAAAUGGAGUAGUGCAACUCUUGGUUGGACAUAGUACGGCGUGAUAAGUGUCUUCGCCGGCGCCUCAUUAGAGGAUGGCCGAUCGGGAGCUCUGUGCUUCAAACCGUCUUCGGACAACAUCUGACAACUUGACCUCAAAUCGAGUAGGACUACCCGCUGAACUUAAGCAUAUCAAUAAGCGGAGGCU
rnacentral:misc_RNA from 1 species